ensembl:rRNA 5S_rRNA 5S ribosomal RNA
UAUCACGGCCAUAUCACCCUGCAACCCAAGACCGGUUACUCGCUGAAGCUAAACAGGGCUGAGCCUGGUCAGUACCUGGAGGGGAAAUCACAUGGGAAACCUGGUCACAUUUGGAA